rnacentral:rRNA from 1 species
UACGAAGGGGGGCUAGCGUUGCUCGGAAUUACUGGGCGUAAAGGGCGCGUAGGCGGAUAUCUAAGUUGGGGGUGAAAUCCCCGGGGCUCAACCUCGGAAUUGCCUUCAAAACUGGGUAUCUUGAGUUCGGGAGAGGUGAGUGGAACUGCGAGUGUAGAGGUGAAAUUCGUAGAUAUUCGCAAGAACACCGGUGGCGAAGGCGGCCAACUGGACCAUUACUGACGCUGAGGCGCGAAAGCGUGGGGAGCAAACAGG